rfam:Aquiflexum balticum DSM 16537 genome assembly, chromosome: I
AGAGGCCCUCCGAUGGCGGUUUACCGAAACAGCUAUCAAACUACCUUACGCUGCAUAUCUGGGAAACCAAUAUGUGGUGAGCGGUAAGGAAAAACGGGGACAUUGAUCCCCGUAGGU